rnacentral:lncRNA from 1 species
UCUCGCUAGCUCUUUCUGAGACCGCAAAACAUAAAUGCAGAGCACUUUCAAAGAUCAACGGCUCACUAAACAUUGUAAUUCAUAACAACGAAGAUCCAGUCAUAGUCAUACUCAAUAUCAAUCAAAAGCAAAGCAUAAAAAUGACAGAGGUGCCCUCUAAUUGGUGCUUAUAUAAGAAGAGGAUGACUCAACAGGAAAAUAAAUAGACAGGCCCUUCGCAGAGGGAAGCAUUGAUUUGCAGAGGUGCCAGAGCUCAAGAUUUGAAAGCAGAGAUAAUAAUUUUGGGUGGCAUGCUUUCAUUGUCAACGCAAUGACCAAGAGUUCUCAAUAUCUUCCAUGCUACUCAUGCUAUAGGCGGUUCCCAAACAGAAAAGUAAAGUUUUAACUCCCUCACGACCAAUCAAUCACACUCCAUGGCUAGCCGAAUCCUCGGGUACCGUCCAUACUAACAUCAAUCCGGGGGGAGUCUUGUUUUACAGUUAUGUUUUCGAUUUAAGCGUGGAACUGGGCAUUUCAAUUACCGGCCCCUUUCUCGUGAAUGACUGUGAAUAAACACAUGUCGAUGAUAACACUCCUAGCAUGGAAGAUACCAAUAGCCCUCUGUCACCACAUGAGCGGUUCGGGCAUGCAAAGCAGAUUAUUUCUUGAAGGUUUAGAGAAUGGCACAUGCCAAUUUACUUGGAACGGCAGGUAGAUACCACAAAUAGGUAGGUAUGGUGGACUCUCAUGGAAAAAAAUUGGGUUUAUGGAAGUGGGUGCACAAGCAGUAUUCCGCUUAAUACAAGUGAAGGCUAGCAAAAGACUGGGAAGCGACCAACUAGAGAGCGACAACAGUCAUCAAGAUGCAAUGAGUUUGACUAACAUUGAAUGCAAGCAUGAAAAGGAUAUAAAUCACCAUGAAUACAAACAUCAUAGAGGCUAUGUUGAUUUUGUUUCAACUACAUGCAUGAAUAUGCGCCAAGUCAAGCCACUUGAACAUUCAAAGGAGAAUACCAUCCUAUCAUACCACAUCAUAGUCAUCUCAAAAUCUAUAUUGGCAUUCAAGACAAACCAUUAUAAGCUCUCAGCUAAAUAAGCAUGGCAUCAGAAACUAUAAUAUCUAAGUUGUCAUUGCAAACAUGGUUCUCUCACAACAAAGCUAAAUCUGGGUCGACAAGCUAGUCAUAAUUACAAAAACAAAAUAGAUAGAGUUCAUGCCAGCUUUUCAGUCUCAGUCACUUCAUCAUAUAUCAUAAUUGUUGCCUUUCAUUUGCACGAUCGAACGAUGUGAACGAUAAUAAGAGCAUUGGACUAAGCUGAAUCUGCAGGCAAACACAAAGGAGAAGAAAAAAUAAUAUGGCUCUUUGAAAGCUAAACAGGUAAGCAUGUAAGAACCACUAAACAUUGUGUUAGAGCAUAUACCUCCAUAUGUGGUUUUGGUAAUUGAUGACAAUUCCUA